rnacentral:lncRNA from 1 species
UGGAGGACUCCACAAAGUUCACCUCCAUAUUGAACCUCUGUCAAGGAUGGAAGAAGGGAAAAGUCCCUAAAUAUUACAAGCAGCAGUCUCUCCUGAUGUAGCAGUGUCCCUUUUAUUCAAAGGGCUACCUCCACCCUGCCUGAAUGUUCCUGUUGUCUGAGAUGCUGGAGGUCUAGGAGUUUGGCAGAUGGGGAGUGGGCCACUCUUGCAGUUCUCCCUGGGUGGAGCCUCAAGCAGCUGUCAUGGUUUAGACAAAAUUCUCAUUAAAGAAAAAACAACAAGCAGUGUGAGUGUCCUGUUUGCAGAAAUCCAGAAAGUGUCUGCACUAAGAGAGUGGAGCCACCUGCCUCAGAGGUUUGCCCAGGCCAGUCCCAGCUGUCCAGGAGGAACAGAAAGGGAGCCACAGGGAGAACCUGUCAUUUUCUUAGAGCAAUUUGCAGGUCUGCAAUAUUGCUAGUUUGCUGAAUCAGGGCCUCAUCAAGGCGUAUAUCUAACAAAAGCAAGUACUGGGGGAAAAAAGGAUAAAAGUCUAGCAGCAGAACCGUAUGGAAUAUAAUUGGCCACUUUCAGGGCCCUUUAAUCAAACCGACACAGGAGGAGGAUUUAGCCCAGCACUUCAUGCAAACCCUUUAAUUGCUCUGGAUCCAAACCCACCAUUGGUGUGGUGCCAUGUCCCCCGUGGGACACCAGUGGUGGCCAAGGACAAGAA